rnacentral:lncRNA from 10 species
ACUUGGGACUGGAAUCUGGUUCUGCCACUUGCCGGCUCUGUGACUUUAGGCAAGCGACUUCACAUUCCUCAGCCAAUUUCAUCCGUGAAAAGAUGGAGUCUCGCCCUGUUGCCCAGACUGGAGUGCAGUGGCACCAUCUUCGCUCACUACAACCUCUGCCUCCUGGGUUCAAGCAAUUCUCCUGCCUCAGCCUUCCGAGUAGCUGGGACUACAGAAAACCAGAAGAGCAAGAUGUUGGAGAAUUAAUAUCUGCUAGAGAAAUAUGCAUCUCAGCCUGGACUAAUUGGUGCCUGGAACAUGAUGGUGAUCCGCCCGCCUCAGACUCCAAAGUGCUGGGAUUACAGGUGUGAGCCACCACGCCCGGCCCUGACCAACAUCUUGACUGAAACUCACGAGACACUGAGCCACAACCUUCCAACUAAGCUGUUCCUGGAUUUCUGACCCUAGGAAACUGUGUGAGAUGGCCAGUUCCUGCCUUAACUGAUCACAUUCCACCACAAAAGAAGUGAAAAUGGCCUGUUCCUGCCUUUGCUGAUGACAUUACCUUGUGAAAUUCCUUCUCCUGGCUCAUCCUGGCUCAAAAGCUCCCCUGCUGAGCACCUUGUGACCCCCCCGCCCCUGCCCACCAGAGAACAACCCCCUUUGACUGUAAUUUUCCUUUACCUACCCAAAUCCUAUAAAACAGCCCCACCCCUAUCUCCCUUCGCUGACUCUCCUUUCGGACUCAGCCCACCUGCACCCAGGUGAAAUAAACAGCCUUGUUGCUCACACAAAUCCUGUUUGGUGGUCUCUUCACACGGACGUGAGUGAAAUUUUGGUGCCGUGACUCGGAUUGGGGGACCUCCCUUGGGAGAUCAAUCCCCUGUCCUCCUGCUCUUUGCUCCGUGAGAAAGAUCCACCUACGACCUCGGGUCCUCAGACCGAUCAACCCAAGGAACAUCUCACCAAUUUUAAAUUGGGCGGAGUUUCGGUCCUGUUGCCCAGGCUGGAGUACAAUGGCGCAAUUUCAGCUCACAGCAGUGAUUCUCCUCCCUCAGCCUCGCGAGAAGCUGGGAUUACAGGCAUGUGCCACUACGCCCAACUAAUUUUGUAUUUUUAGUAGAGACGGGGUCUCUCCAUGUUGGUCAGGCUGGUCUCGGAACUCCUGAACUCAGGUGAUCCGCCUGCCUCAGCCUCCCAAAGUGCUGAGAUUACAGGUGUGAGCCACCGUGCCCGGGCUAAUUUUUUGUAUUUUUAGUAGAGACAAGGUUUAACCAUGUUGGCCAGGGUGGUCUCAAACUCCUGAUCUCAGGUGAUCCACCCGCCUUGGCCUCCCAAAGUGCUGGGAUUACAGGCAUGAGCCACCUCGCCCAGCCAAGUGAGGCUCAUUUUUAACCUUUUGAUGAUUAUACUUGAAGGGGUGGCCUGCCCCUCCACACCUGUGGGUAUUUUUAGUCGGGUGGGAUGAGAGACUGAGAAAAGAAAUAAGACACAGAGACAAAGUAUAGAGAAACAAUAGUGGGCCCAGGGGACUGGCGUUCAGCACACCAAGGACCUGCAUCGGCACCGGCCUCUGAGUUCCCUCAGUUUUUAUUAUUAUUUUCAUUAUUUUAGCAAAAAGGAAUGUAGUAGGAGAGCAGGGUGAUAAUAAGGAGAAGGUCAACAAAAAACAUGUGAGCAAAAGAAUCUAUAUCAUAAUUAAGUUCAAGGGAAGGUACUAUGCCUGGACGUGCACGUAGGCCAGAUUUAUGUUUCUCUCCACCCAAACAUCUCAGUGGAGUAAAGAAUAACAAGGCAGCAUUACUGCAAACAUGUCUCACCUCCCGCCAUAGGGCGGUUUUUCUCCUAUCUCAGAAUUGAACAAAUGUACAAUCGGGUUUUACACCAAGACAUUUAGUUCCCAGGGGCAGGCAGGAGACAGUGGCCUUCCUCUAUCUCAGCUGCAAGAGGCUUUCCUCUUUUACUAAUCCACCUCAGCACAGACCCUUUAUGGGUGUCAGGCUGGGGGACAGUCAGGUCUUUCUCAUCCCACGAGGCCAUAUUUCAGACUAUCACAUGGGGAGAAACCUUGGACAAUACCCCGCUUUCAAGGGCAGAGGUCCCUGCGGCUUUCCACAGUGCAUUGUGCCCCUGGUUUAUUGAGACUAGAGAAUGGCAAUGACCUUUAUCAAGUAUAUUGCUUGUAAACAUUUUGUUAACAAGGCAUGUCCUGCACAGCCCUAGAUCCCUUAAACCUUGAUUUUAUACAACACAUGUUUUUGUGAGCUCCAAGUUCGGUCAAAGUGGUUGGGUCAAAGUGGCAGGGGCAAAGCUACAAAUUAACAACAUCUCAGCAAAGCAAUUGUUUAAAGUACAGGUCUUUUUCAAAAUGGAGUCUCUUAUGUCUUUCCUUUCUACAUAGACACAGUGACAGUCUGAUCUUUCUUUCUUUUCCCUACAAUACUGUGAUAGUAGCAUUGAUGGUUUGGAAGUGGCAAAUGAGAAGUGAGGCUGGGAGGCUUUUCGAAGGAGAUUUCAGGAAUUCUGAUGAGGCCCUGUGAGGGCCUGACCCACAGCUAUAGCAAGGAAAAAGGCAAGGUGGGGGUGUUGAUGGGGAGACACUGAAGCAGGGCGACCUACAGGGAUUGGUACUUGAGAACUAUGCAGGAGGAAUGGGGUGGGGCCGGUGUGGGGGUGGAGGGAGUGCAGGAACCCCCUGAAGCUCCUGGCUCAGAAAUCUACCCCCUGCAAGCCCAGGUCUUCCCAGCUGUGCUCCUCGUUAGCAUUUGAGAAGCUGGACAAUGCUUAAAAUUCACCUUCUAGGGCUGGGUCUACAGUUGUUACCAAAUGUCUCCAUAGCUUCCAGUGUGAAUCGCAUUCAGAAUUACAAUCAGAUAGAAAGGCACUCAGGCCCUUCUCAUUUAAAACAAACAAAAGCAUGAGGGAUAGGAGGGCACAGAGAAUAAAAAACAGCAAGAGAAAAACGCCCUAGGGCAAACUUCAUCUUUUUUUUUUUUUUUUUUGAGUUGGAGUCUCGGCUCUAUCGCUCAGGCUGGAGUGCAGUGGUGCAAUCUUGGCUCAAUACAACCUCUGCCUCCCAAGUUCAAGCGAUUCCCCUGUCUCAGCCUCUCGAGUAGCUGAGAUUACAGGAGCACGCCACCAUGCCCAGC